CUUGGUUAGGAUUUGGUUAGUGCCCUUCACGAGAUUGGAUGGUAGCAUCAUGCUUCGAUGGUUGAGAGCUUGAACCAGAAAAACAUAUGAAUCAGUUCAGACUUUUUUCCCGUUCAUGUCUACAAAAGCACAAAUAAACAACUAAUUUUAAUACCUAUAGUCUGUAUAGUUAUACUUUUAUAAUUUGUAGAGGAACAAACUAAUCAGAUCUGAAAAUAAACUACCUUUUUCCCGCUCAUCCAUGCUUCCUGUUUGCCGGGAACUGUCUGCGAUCCGUAGAUUGGCGCCCGCCUGUGUCGGCCUCCCUUUCCUUCCUCCACUUCUCGAUGGCGGCGCGAUUGCGCGAUGUAAACAUCCUAUCACAACAGCUAGGGUCGGUCUUGAUUGCAGCAAGGCCAGCGCUAUGUGACAGCUUGGAACCAAAGAGAUUC
rnacentral:lncRNA from 1 species